CCUACGGGUGGCAGCAGUGAGGAAUAUUGGUCAAUGGGCGCGAGCCUGAACCAGCCAAGUCGCGUGAAGGAUGACUGUCCUACGGGUUGUAAACUUCUUUUAUAAAGGAAUAAAGUGAGGCACGUGUGCCCGGUUGUAUGUACUUUAUGAAUAAGGAUCGGGUAACUCCGUGCCAGCAGCCGCGGUAAUACGGAGGAUCCGAGCGUUAUCCGGAUUUAUUGGGUUUAAAGGGAGCGUAGGUGGGUUGUUAAGUCAGUUGUGAAAGUCUGGGGCUCAACCGUAAAAUUGCAAUUGAUACUGGCAGUCUUGAGUACAGUAGAGGUAGGCGGAAUGCGUGGUGUAGCGGUGAAAUGCUUAGAUAUCACGAAGAACUCCGAUUGCGAAGGCAGCUUACUAAACUGCCACUGACGUUGAGGCACGAAAGUGUGGGUAUCAAACAGGAUUAGAUACCCUAGUAGUC
rnacentral:rRNA from 1 species